rnacentral:tRNA from 1 species
GAGGGUAUAGCUCAGUGGUAGAGCACAUGCUUAGCAUACACAAGGUCCUGGGUUCAUUCCCCAGUACCUCUA